rnacentral:rRNA from 1 species
UACGUAGAGUGCAAGCGUUGUCCGGAAUUAUUGGGCGUAAAGAGCUCGUAGGCGGUUUGUCGCGUCUGCUGUGAAAACCCGAGGCUCAACCUCGGGCCUGCAGUGGGUACGGGCAGACUAGAGUGCGGUAGGGGAGAUUGGAAUUCCUGGUGUAGCGGUGGAAUGCGCAGAUAUCAGGAGGAACACCGAUGGCGAAGGCAGAUCUCUGGGCCGUAACUGACGCUGAGGAGCGAAAGCAUGGGGAGCGAACAGG